GAUGAACGCUGGCGGCGUGCCUAACACAUGCAAGUCGAGCGAGAAUUUGUGGAAUGCGGUUUCGGCCAAGUGAAGCGAAGGAAAGCGGCGGACGGGUGAGUAACGCGUGAGCAACCUGCCCCAUGGACCCGGAUAGCCACUGGAAACGGUGAUUAAUACGGGAUGAGACAGCAAAGCUGCAUAGCUAAGCUGUAAAAGAUUUAUCGCCAUGGGAUGGGCUCGCGUCUGAUUAGCUAGUUGGUGAGGUAACGGCUCACCAAGGCGACGAUCAGUAGCCGACCUGAGAGGGUGAUCGGCCACACUGGAACUGAGACACGGUCCAGACUCCUACGGGUGGCAG
rnacentral:rRNA from 1 species